UACAGAGGUCUCAAGCGUUGUUCGGAUUCAUUGGGCGUAAAGGGUGCGUAGGUGGCGCUGUAAGUCGGGUGUGAAAUUUCGGAGCUUAACUCCGAAACUGCAUUCGAUACUGCGGUGCUUGAGGACUGGAGAGGAGACUGGAAUUCAUGGUGUAGCAGUGAAAUGCGUAGAUAUGUGGAGGAACACCGAUGGCGAAGGCAGCCCCCUGGGUCAAGACUGACGCUCAUGCACGAAAGCGUGGGGAGCAAACAGG
rnacentral:rRNA from 1 species